GUCCUCUAUGUUAGUAGAGUUGGAGGUCUAACCUGCCCAGUGAUAUAUUUUAACGGCCGCGGUAUCUUGACCGUGCAAAGGUAGCAUAAUAAUUAGUCUUUUAAUUGGGGGCUUGAAUGAAUGGUUGGACGAGGGGAGUGCUGUCUCAGAUAAAUUAUUAUGAAUUUAAUCUUUUGGUGAGGAAGCCUAAAUGAAUUAGGGGGACGAUAAGACCCUGUAGAUCUUUACAUGUCUUAACUUAUUGGGUAAGUGGUUGAUUUUUAAGAAUAAAUUUAUGAUGUGUUUUGCUGGGGUGGCAGGGAGAUAUUUAUAACUCUUUUUUAUUAAUUCAUUUAUUUAUGUUUUGUUGAUCCAUGUUUUAUGAUUUUAGGAUUAAGAUACCUCAGGGAUAACAGCGUAAUCUUUCUUGAGAGUUCUUAUCGACGGGGGGGGUUGCGACCUCGAUGUUGGAUUAGGAUUUAAAUUUUGGUGUAGAAGCUUUAAUGAUUGAGUCUGUUCGACUAUUAAAAUCCUACA
rnacentral:rRNA from 1 species